rnacentral:rRNA from 1 species
UACGUAGGGGGCUAGCGUUGUCCGGAUUUAUUGGGCGUAAAGAGCGUGUAGGCGGCCAGGUAGGUCUGGUGUGAAAACUCGAGGCUUAACCUCGAGAUGUCAUCGGAAACCAUCUGGCUAGAGUCCGGAAGAGGAGAGUGGAAUUCCUGGUGUAGCGGUGAAAUGCGCAGAUAUCAGGAGGAACACCAAUGGCGAAAGCAGCUCUCUGGGACGGUACUGACGCUGAGACGCGAAGGCGUGGGGAGCGAACAGG